CCCACCUCACGCUUCAUACUCAACCCCUUCUCUUUCAGACCUCACGACUAAUGGCGACUCACGUUUCAAAUCCGCCCCACCUAACACAAUACUCACUUUUCCCUUCUUCUUCCCACUUUUCCAAUCAUCUAUCUCACAAACCCCAUUUUCCUCUUUCUUUCUUCCUUCUUCGUUGCUUUGCAUUCUUCACUUUUGUGCCAUUCCUCCGAGCUUCAAAAUUGAAGCCAACAUCGCUAAUAUGGAUGACUUGAUUAUCGGAGAGCAAGGAUUUCAAGAAACUCCUCCACCCCCAAGGACAACAGGGGUGCCGGAGUUUGCAAUUGAGAGACUAAUGACGCAGAAAUUUGAUGGGUUCAAUAAAGAAGAAAGAAGAAGAAAUUGGAGAUUGCAGUGUUUGUUAUGAAGAGCUACAAGGAAAGGGGAAGGAAGUGAGUAGGAUUCCAUGUGGUGUCACGUGUAUCACAAAUCAUGCAUCCUUACAUGGCUUCAAAUCAACAACUCUUGCCCAUUGUGCAGAGCUCCAUUACAAUCAUGAACACUCUUCUUAAUUUUGCUUAUGAGAAUUAUCUUAAUUCUCUCUUCUUCUUUUUUGAGAAUUAUGUUAAUGUAAUUUUGAAUAAUCGGUGAAAAUGCAAUCAUCAGGGAAACAUAUAUAUAUAUACACACUUAGCAAGGGAAACGUAUGAAACUUGUUUAAUUUCAAA